CCCUUAGAUGUCCUGGGCCGCACGCGCGCUACACUGAGUGUCUGAGAUACGAGUCUGCCUGGUCCGGCAAGGUCUAGGUAAUCGCUAAAAGACACAUCAUGCUUGGGAUAGAUUAUUGCAAAUAUUAAUCUUGAACGAGGAAUUCCUAGUAAGCGCAAGUCAACAGCUUGCGUUGAUUACGUCCCUACCCUUUGUACACACCGCCCGUCGCUACUACUGAUUGGAUGUUUAAGCGAGGUUCUCGAACUGCUAGCGACUUAGCUUCGGUGAGGUCGCAGUGUGGGAAGUGAACCUAGCCUUGGUGUCUAGAGGAAGUAAAAGUCGUAACA
rnacentral:rRNA from 1 species